rnacentral:rRNA from 1 species
AUUGAACGCUGGCGGCAGGCCUAACACAUGCAAGUCGAACGAGUGGCGGACGGGUGAGUAAUGUCUGGGCAACUGCCUGAUGGAGGGGGAUAACUACUGGAAACGGUAGCUAAUACAGCAUACCAUCGGAUGUGCCCAGAGGGGAUUAGCUAGUAGGUGGGGUAAAGGCUCACCUAGGCGACGAUCCCUAGCGGGUCUGCGAGGAUGACCAGCCAAACUGGUACUGAGACACGGUCCAGACUCCUACGGGAGUCAGCAGUGGGGAAUAUUGCACAAUGGGCGCAAGCCUGAUGCAGCCAUGCCGCGUGUAUGAAGAAGGCCUUCGGGUUGUAAAGUACUGUCAGUGGGGAGGCGUUACUCGCAGAAGAAGCACCGGCUAACUCCGUGCCAGCAGCCGCGGUAAUUC